rnacentral:rRNA from 1 species
AGUGAACGCUGGCGGCGUGCCUAAUACAUGCAAGUCGAACGGAGUGGCGCACGGGGGAGUAAUAUAUAGCUAAUCUGCCCCUUGCUGGAGGACAACAGUUAGAAAUGGCUGCUAAUACCCCAUAGCAAGGGAUGGGACGAUAUCGUAUCAGCUAGUCGGUGGGGUAACGGCCUACCGAGGCUAUGACGCGUAACUGGUCUGCGAGGAUGAUCAGUAACAUUGGAAGGGAGACACGGUCCAAACUCCUACGGCAGGGAGCAGUAGGGAAUAUUGCGCAAUGGGGGAAACCCUGACGCAGCAACGCGGCGUGUAGGAUGACAAUUGGCGGAGCGUAAACUCCUUUUGUUAGGGAAGCGGUACCUAACGAAUAAGCACCGGCUAACUCCGUGCCAGCAGCCGCGGUAAUUC